rnacentral:lncRNA from 1 species
AAUUUUUUUAUUUUUGUCUUUUGUCUUUUGCUGCACCCGAGGCAUAUGGAGGUUCCCAGGCGGGAGCUGAAUCAGAGCUGCAGCUGCUGGCCUAUACCAGAGCCACAGCAACACCAGAUCCAAGCCAUGUCUGUGACCUAGACCAUAGUUCACAGCAACACCAGAUCCUCAACACACUGAGCGAGGCCAGGGAUCAAACCUGCAUCCUCAUUGAUACCAGUCAGGUUCGUUAACCACUGAGCCAUGACAGGAACUCCUAGUUGAAUAUUUUUCCAUCCUACAGGGGACUUCUUGAGUCAAAGUGUUAGGAAAGAAUAACAUUAGCUUAGAUUGCUAUGUUAAUCAGACUUUUUCAGUAGCAAAAGAUCAAAACCCAGACUAAACUAGUUUAAGCAAGAAAGGAAGCUAUAUCUACCUCAUCAUCAUCAUCUCCUCCUCCUCCUCUUCCCCCUUCUCUUGCUUUUCUCUCCUCCUCCUCCUGAUCUUCUCUCCUUUUCCCUUUCAAUAUCUCUCCCUCUUUCUUUCUGUCUCCAAUGUGUUGACCCCAUUCUCACAUUGUAUUUGGUAGCAAAGGUGGCCAUUAGGAACGCUAAACAUGCAACAUGCAUCAUUCCUAGGGCUCGUAAUUCCAGAAGGAAAUAUUUUUUGGUUCUCUUUAUCCCUAUGUCAGUUUUAUUUCUUUGAAAGACUCUGAUUGGCUCUGUUUUAGAGCCUCUUUUCUCUCCAUUUAAGAGUUGCUCAGAGUGGACAGCCUGUGUGGGAAGGCUCUAUGAGAUUAACCUAGCAAGGUUACUGUCAAUGCCAGAAGAUGAAAGAAAUUCAAAGCAGGCAAAAAUGUAACAGGGCUCCCAACGACCACUACAUAUUUCUAAAUUGCUUAGCAUAAUGGUAAGCAUAAUGUUACAGGCUUCUGUCAAAUAUGUGUCUUAUUAAUCUUAACUGAGCCUAUCAACAUAUAGGUAAUAUUAAGUUUUUUAGCCCAAAUCUGUUCUCUAUAGCAUUGUAACUAUAAAACAUCUGUAGUAGAAAAUCUCAACCUUGAGUGUCAAGGAGAUUAAUUACAUGUUAUUAACUUUUUCCUUGAUCAUUUAAUAUUUGGCAUAUGUCAGGAAAGUCAACAUUUGGACUCAUUUAGGAAUUUGUCAUUUUAAUACUUAUUUUGGAUUAUUAGAAAUGGGAGUAGGAUAUAAAAAAAGGGAUGCUAAUUAUAUUCUAUGGUCUAGUGUCUACCCUAAGUCACCAUAUGUUUAGGCUGUUCUGUUACAGCAAAGUUUAUAUCCUUUCUACUUUCACCUCUAAUAUUAAUAUUAGCUUAUGUUGUUGAUUUUUGAAAAUAUUGUUUAUGAAUUGAUUUCUUCCCCUUCUACUGUCUUUAAAGAUAUAUGUGUGUAUAUGUAUAUAUAUAAAACAUUCUAAUCAUAUAGAAUCAAUAUGAUGGCUACAAUUAUAUACAGAUAUAUUUGUGUAUAUAUAGUUCUAUAUACAUAAAUAUAACACACAUGUAUAAUUACAUCUUUAUAUGAGUAUAAAGAUAAUAUGAUUUUGUAUGUUUAGAAUGUCAGAUUCUUAUCCUUUUUAGUCUUGUUUUUUAUCAUGGUACGACCUGGCUAAUUUUAAGCAUUUUACUACCACAAACUACAUUUAGGGAUCUUCUUCAAAGAGAAAAAGAUUAAUUUGCUAUGAAUAAUGAUUCUCAUGCAAAACAUUUUGGUGUUUUUUGUGAUGCAGAUGAGCAAUGCUAUAAAUAUAAUUUAGAAAGUUUGAAAAUUGAUUUUAACAUUCACUAUUCUUCUUCCGAAUUAAUCAAAUUACAAAAUUAUGCUGUGGUUUCCAGUAUAUUAAAAUAAGUUGUCAUAUUUGGAACAUCUGUUUAUGCUCCUAUUAUGAAUAUGGGUUUCUAAACAUCUGAACUAUAGAUUGCCAUAAAUAAUGUUUGUUAUUUAUUCUCUGGAAGUAUGACAUCUACUUCCUCCCACAAUGCUUAUUUCCCACAAAGUAAAUCUUCCAGAUUGUUUUUAUCUUUUUCCUUAUCAAGAUAGAGCAAAAAAAAGUCAGGUUUUAGUUAAGUCUUGCUGAUUGGUUAAGUAAAGGAGGGCUGUCAUCUGCAGCCUUUCCAGACACUGUACCACGACUCCAGAUAGUCAGCUGGUAUUGUCGCUUUGUCUCAACUAUAAAUCAGUCUUGUAAUGGCCAAGGCUGACACCUUGACAUUUUCAAGAAGAGUAAAAGACCUGAUCUGAAUGGAAAUCAAUUUUAUUUCACAAAUCUUGGGUUACUACUCCAAGCCUUUUCUUCUUGUGUCUUCUUGAGACUUACCUGGGAUUUUCACAAUCAUCAAAGGAUUAUUUGAGUUGUUUGUUAUACUAUCACAUCUUUUAGCUAUAGAACCAUAUCCUUACUUCCUUCUUCGAUCUCAAGAUGGAAAACUUUAUUUUUAAAAUUUUAUAUAAUAAAAAAUCACCAAUAUGCCAGAUUUCAUUUUAACCAUGACAUAUUGAUAGUUUAAAAAUGUGGCAGUAGCAGCAAUUGCCAUUGGUUUUGCAGAAUUUUCCCUAAAUGUUCUGUGAUUUAAAAAUACCAGCUGUGUAUACAUAUAUCCAGAUUAAUCAUUGAUUAUACAAUGAUACAUAAUAUCAUUUAUGGAGUGAUUUUUGAACUUCAAUCUACCAGGUCUCAAGCAUAGAAUCCUCUGAAAAAUGUUUUUACUUUUAUAUUCUUGCACAUAAAAAGUAGGCUUUAGGAUUUUAGAGUCAAAGGUCUUUAUAGAUCUUUUAGGAACUUGGCAUUAAAUGUUUAAAAAAAAAAUUAACUACUCUGGUAUGUCUUCCACUUUAGGAGAACACUGAAAUUUCCUUAAAACUACAGAGGGGAAGAAACUUGUGCAUCCUUAGUAUUUUUGCUUGCCACCUCAACAAAUAUGAUCUCAAUUCAAUGUAACCUUAGCUCUAAACAUGUUAUUAAUCAAGAAUUUGGGCAUCACCCCUCUUCUUGUCAAAUAUGGAAAAAUUACCACAAUGCCUGCCAGUGAUUUCUCUUUAUCAUCUUCAUUAUUAGUCUUUCAUUUUGUUGAAAACCUCAUUUCUAAACAGGAAUGUGCUUUGAUUGCUAAAUUCAUUAUGUUGCAGUGCUCCACAAACAAAUGGAGUUAUAGACGAUUACAAACAGGAGAUUUUCAACCCUUAAAUCUUUUUAUCCACCUAUUCAUCCAUUCAUUCAUAAUCUAUACAAAACAAGACUUUAUGCUAAGAAUGUGUGAAAUACUAAAUAAAGUUAGAAAUCCUUCUUCACAACAUACUAUAUUUUUACCAGUGUGGCAGGUGCUGAGAAUCCUUCAAAGAUUUUUGGGAAGAUGGAAAAUGAAUCCAAAGUCAGUGUAACUUAAGACCUCAACCCAGGGGGCAUCUCAGAACUACUCAGAAAGACUUACGAAGGCACACCCUUCAUGCUACCCUGAAGGUUCUGACUCAGUAGCUUGGAAGUAGGGCCUGUGCAGAUGCAUUCGUAAAAGCUCCUAGGUGACUAACACUCCAAUCGAUAAAGAGUUGGGUAGAGAAUGUUGAAAUGAGGAGAAUGAGGGAUAAUUAGCCACACAAAGAAACAAAAAGGAGCUCUAACCCAAGGACUUCCUCACAUGAAGUCUACCAUAUUCCCAUGAGAUUUUAUAUGAGAUUUUGAGUGGAUAUCCAUUUUUCUGGGGGAAAAUGAACCAAUAGUGUUUAUAAGAUUCUGAAGGAAGACUAAAACCACUCCAAAAUUAAGAGCCGCUAGGAAUACACACUGUGAAAAUGCGAAGGUAAAUGUGAGAAAUCAUGGCUAUACAAUUAAAAGAAUGCCAUGACCUUGUAGAUUGCAUGGGGAUAAAAAUUGUAGCAGGGAAGAAAGAAGUAGAAAAAAUUAAUAUAAAUGUGUCCACCUUUGACACUAGAAGGAUGAGAACCAUGAUAAUCCUUCUGUGAACCAGCAUCCCCCCCAUCAACUAUUUCAGUUAAAAGAACUUUGAUAUCCCGCAUGUUGGACUCAUGGUGUGAAUGUGACUCUCAAAGGUAAGGUGUCAAACAGUAAUGAAAAUUUUGGAGGUGAUUACAUAGCUUUGAACAUCAUUUCUGUAGAAAGCUGGUUGAACACGCUGAAGUCAUAAAUAGGCAUCUUUUAUCCUAUUUCUCCCUUUGACUGACUUUCACUUCCCAGGUAAUCUAGAGUGACUAUAGAAGCUACACUAUGUUGAUUUUCCAGCCAGAGGAAUAAGAGGAGAAUAAUAAGGAUGCUAUCUAUACUUCCUUUUAAAGAAGAUUUCUGGAAACCUUCCACUCUACCCUUAAAACUUAGCAGGUACACAAAGCUUUUGGGAGAAUAGGUACAUGGAAGUGUAGGCUUUAUUCUGGGUAUUUGUUCAUCCAGCUGAAUACCAGAGGAAUAGAGUAGAGGAGUUCCUACUGUGGCUCAGUGGGUUACAAACCCGACUAGUAUCCAUGAGGACGCAGGUUCAAUCCCCGGAUUAAGGAUCUGGUGUUGCCUUGAGCUGUGGUGAGGAUUGUAGAAUGGCUCAAAUUACAUGUUGCUGUGGCUGUGGCCAGCAGCUGUAGCUCUGAUUCGACCCCUAGUCUGAGAACUUCUAUAUGCCAGAGGUGCAGCCCAAAAGAAG